UACGUAGGCAGCGAGCGUUGUUCGGAGUUACUGGGCGUAAAGGGUGUGUAGGCGGUUGUUUAAGUUUGGUGUGAAAUCUCCCGGCUCAACUGGGAGGGUGCGCCGAAUACUGAAUGACUUGGAGUGCGGGAGAGGAAAGUGGGAAUUCCUGGUGUAGCGGUGAAAUGCGUAGAUAUCAGGAGGAACACCGGUGGUGUAGACGGCUUUCUGGACCGUAACUGACGCUGAGACACGAAAGCGUGGGUAGCAAACAGG
rnacentral:rRNA from 1 species